AUGCAAGGUCGAGCGGCAGCGGGAAAGUAGCUUGCUACUUUUGCCGGCGAGCGGCGGACGGGUGAGUAAUGCCUGGGAAAUUGCCCAGUCGAGGGGGAUAACAGUUGGAAACGACUGCUAAUACCGCAUACGCCCUACGGGGGAAAGCAGGGGACCUUCGGGCCUUGCGCGAUUGGAUAUGCCCAGGUGGGAUUAGCUAGUUGGUGAGGUAAUGGCUCACCAAGGCGACGAUCCCUAGCUGGUCUGAGAGGAUGAUCAGCCACACUGGAACUGAGACACGGUCCAGACUCCUACGGGAGGCAGCAGUGGGGAAUAUUGCACAAUGGGGGAAACCCUGAUGCAGCCAUGCCGCGUGUGUGAAGAAGGCCUUCGGGUUGUAAAGCACUUUCAGCGAGGAGGAAAGGUCAAUACCUAAUUUUUGCUGGC
rnacentral:rRNA from 1 species